UUUUUAUGGUCUAUCGAGGAAUAUGAGAAAGGUGAUGUCGAAACUGAAGGGAAUAGCAACGAUGAGAAGUGGGAAGGAUCUUUCUUCACCAUUCUUGGACGGAAUCCUCAAAUAGGCCAAACCAUGGUUGGGGAACUAGCAAAAUUAUUCCUCUGAAAUCCUUUUUUUCCUAUACGUUUGGAUGAUACUUUCUUCCAUGUUUUGCUUUUGCUUUCGAAUCACCGGCUACAAUGUGCGGGUAUUACAUACAAGUUGUGCCUGUUAUAGAGAGGCCUGACUCUCAGGUUAUCGGUUUCGUUAUUCAGGUAUUUCUUGCAGCUAUACAUUUCCCAAAACACCAUUAGUUUAAUACAUAUAAACUGUUUACCGGUAAAAUUAAUUUAUAAACUCCGGGUAGAAUGUAGUGAUCCAAUUACUGCUUCAAUCAAAUGGACUAGAGUAGUUCGACAACAUUGCAGACAAGGCUUUGACAGAGUUUCGGUACUGAUGCAUCUUGUAUAAUUGAAAAUUGAUUUAUUCUCUGAAUUUUGGAUGAUAUCUCUUGUUUCUUCUUGUCAUUCAGAUGUGAGUACGAAGAAAAUGUCUCUCUUGUGUACGCGGACACAAGCCUUGCAGAAACUCUAUCAACUUUGAGCAAUACUCGGAGGCUUCUUGGUUGCGUAAGGAAAAACGAUGUCUACCUUGUCGUGGAGAUGGAUGAUCUCUUUAACAAGAGAAAGAGUAUAACCGCGGAGGAAUUUAUUCACAUAGAGCCUGCAGCUGCAAUCAAAGAAGAGAGUGACGGUUUACUUGCAGGCAACAUGUUCCUUCCAAGAAUGGACUCACCGAUUACCAACAAGAAAACUGAUUCCCUGAAGCAAGCCAUGAAGAAUUUGGCAGAAAACAAUUGUAGUAUCAGCUUUCUGGUUGACGAUUUACAUCGACCCAAAAGUUUGCUUACCUUGAGAGACAUAAUCAUUCAAUUUGCACGGCCCUGCAUAGAUUUCACCAUCCGCGGAAGCGGCUUCUUUGAAUCAGCGCUUGAACAAGCUGGUUGUAUUGCCAAAAACGGAACCGUAUUUGUUGAGCAUUGAUCCAUAAAACCAACUACUUUAACCUAUACAAACGGCGACCCAGUUGAUUGAUCAAUAGUUCAUUUUUAUUUUAGUGAAUUAAAAUAAAAAAUUAUUUAGGUGUGAAA